UGUGUGCACAGAAAAGUCUUCUGGUACAUGCGGUGUGGUGCUUAGGACAGAGCAGGGCACCUCCGGGAGCAGGGAGCAGUGUGGAGACCUUUGCUUGCCCUCACGGUUGAAUUGAGGCGUACUGGAUGGUACAGGUCUCGAGAAAACACAUCUUCGGGAGCUGUCAAGUGGCUCCAGAGACUCCUGGAACCAGGCGACAUCAACCUGAAGAUGACAAUGGGAGCAAAGUUUGGCUCAUUUGCAGAAUGGAGAACAUUGCUUAGCCCAGCUCUAGGCUGGAUGUUCUCCUCAUCUGAUGUCCUGUCACUUAGGACAGCAGGGACCAGGAGCCUGGCAGCAGGUGAACCCCACAGAUCCUUUGCAGCCCUGCUGUGUCAUUGUAGACUAGAGGACAGCUGCUACUUACUGGGCAGAGAGGAGUUCUUCAGUAUUUCAGUGACAGGACCUGCUCAGGAGAGUUGGGGCAAGGCUGGCUGAGGUUCUCAAGGAGCUGAGCUUUGAGUUCAGGUAUCCACAUGGCAGUGGAAUGAUGCCUCCUGACCUUUCAGACCUUUGGGACCUCUCGGAGGUCUUAGAAAUCAUCUCAAGCCUCCAGUCCAGGAUGCGACUGCCUAGGGAAAUCCCAGGGAAAGGUGGCAGAGAUAGUGUGGACUGCAAGGUGAUGGAUGCCUCAGUGAGCUCACUGCAUGACCUCCAAGAUUCCACAUCACUGGCUGUUCCAAGGCUUAUGCUACCCUUCCAGAGAGGCGGCAAGAAGGAAGCUUGAGCAGGGCCCAUUCCUUGGCCAGAGAGAGGAUGGUUCUGGGAGCUCCUGAAGCACACUGAGGAAGGUGCUGCUCUUGCAUAGGACAGACUCAUAGCUGCCUGAGCCAAGAAGCACAUAGUGUGGAACUACAGCCGCUCAUCCUUUCAGACUGAAGUUCUCGCCGUGACAGUUCUGAAUUGGACUGUUUUUCCUUUGUUGUCACUUGCAUAACACACAGUUCUCUGUGACUUUGACUGAUUUUCUUUUUUUUCUGUCUAUCUCUUUUUGUGGGGGACUGGGACUUAUAAAAAGGAAUUUCUUCAAAUGGUAUAAUUCUGUGAUGAAAUUAGCUUUGUUUAUGUACUUAGGAAAUUUCUGAUUUGCAGUUCUAUGUCAAUAAGUAAAGAGGGCUAUGUAGUUUGAUUUGUUUCUUACCUAUUUUUAGAUUUAAAAAUAUUUUUCCUAUUUUAAAGUUUGGAUUCAGGUAAUGACCCGAGUCACAUAGCUACUAAAAAGAUCCCUGUGUGGUAGUGGUUGGAGUUCAAAUAUAAUCAAACAUACUUUAUACCUGGGGCUCUUGCACACUAUUUGAUAUAAAUAUUAUAUACAAAGGAGCAUAAACCAUACAGAUUGAAAUUUAAUUCCUCUCUGAUCCUGAAACUAGAGUGGCAAAAAAAAUUAUGAAUAUCAAAAGUAGCUUCAGAUAUACCAAAUGCGAGCUAAUCAACAUUAGAAUGUUGGAAAGUUUCAAAAAAUCACUGUGUAAGACAAAGCAGGAAAUGGAGAAUGAUCAGUGACAUCCACAGUGUUGCUCAGGUGACUCUGUGGCUUUGGUCUACUUUGAGAGAGGCAAAGAACAAGGCAAAUUUCUGUGGUUAGGUUUACAGAAACUGUAGUAUUUCGGACUGUCCUGUAACUGUGCCUACCUUCCAAUAAAAUGUUUUCAGUUGACU